rnacentral:rRNA from 1 species
UGGGGAAUCUUGCACAAUGGGGGAAACCCUGAUGCAGCGACGCCGCGUGAGCGAUGAAGGUUUUCGAAUCGUAAAGCUCUGUCCUAUGGGAAGAUAAUGACGGUACCAUAGGAGGAAGCCCCGGCUAACUACGUGCCAGCAGCCGCGGUAAUACGUAGGGGGCGAGCGUUGUCCGGAAUUACUGGGCGUAAAGGGUUCGCAGGCGGCAUGACAAGUCCGAUGUAAAAGGCGAAAGCUCAGCUUUCGUAAGCAUCGGCAACUGUCAAGCUUGAGUGAAGGAGAGGCAAGUGGAAUUCCGAGUGUAGCGGAGGAAUGCGUAGAUAUUAAGAGGAAUACCGGUGGCGAAGUCGACUUGCUGAACUUCAAAUGACGCUGAGGAACGAAAGCGUGGGUAGCAAACAGG